GACCCCACACCCCGGCCGCCCCGCCCCUUAUGACGUCACGUGGCGUCGGCACGCCCGUCGCCGGGCUCGCCCGGGUUGUAGGAAGGGAAGCGAGGGGUCCGGAACCGGCCGGCGUCGCCCACGCAGCCUCCCUCCCUCCUCGCCGGCUGUCAGCUCGAGCCCCGCCUCCUUAGCCUUCCAAUGGGCUCUCGGCACCGCCCCGCCCGUUCCCCGCUUCCGCCGUCGCUGCGCCGCGUCCCCUUUGCCCUGUAAUUUUCCUUUUGCAGGCUUCUAGUGCUCGCUGUGCUGCUUUAGGUUUUUCUUUCUCUUUUCUCGCUCAGAGUUCAGCCCUCCACCCGAGCCCUUUAAUCCCUUUGUCCCAGCGGUUCCAAGGAACAGUGGCUGUGUUUAGCGCCCAGUGGAUGAUGAAACUCACCAGAGACCACAUUGCUAGAGAAUGGCUAAACUCGGUUUUGAAUCUAGGCAAUCUUGACAACCACCACCCCCCCAACAAGAACCCUCCAGCUUAAAGGACCCUGGGAAGAUCACUUAAUCCCUUUGUUUCCAAAUCCAGCUGUACUUCCUGAUCACCUUUGGAGUUUUUUAAAAAACACGCAUUGGCCCCCCUUCCAGGCACUCCAUAUAAUGGUUUACAAAACUGCCACAAGUGGUCAUGAGGUGCUGGGAAGAUUGAGAAGCAAAGAUUCAACCCAUCUGGCCUCGCUUUCCUCAUCUGGAAAACAGCUGGCCCUGCUGCCCCACUGGAUGUCAUUAAGAUCCAAUAUGAUCAAGUGCAAAGUAGCCCAGCAGAGAAAGGACUGCCUAUGACCGUGCAGGGUCGGAUAAGACUUGAAGGUGACCAAAUGGACCUGCCAGAGAGAACAAACACAAUUUUACAACCCAGGUGCUUCUCUUUGGUACAUACAUGACUCAUCAGAUUCUAAGAUUUGAAGAGGAUCUGAAUGUCUUCUGAACAAAUGUAUUCUUACCUGCUUUGCCCAUAAUCUCCUACGUCUUCCUUCUGCUAAACUUGACUACAAGGCACCUAUUUUAUGUAAAAGUAUAGGAAGGUUAUGGGAAAAACAGAGUAGUUUGGGGAACGACCGUUCAUUCAUUCCUGGCUUUAUUUCUUUACUUGCUCAACUGGUCACAGUUGGUCAUUUCAAUCUCAGGCAAAAUGAUACCUCUGGCUCCUAACCCCUCCAACCUGUCAUCAACACAAUUGCUGCAGACACCAUCAGGGCUCCACCUCGUCCCUUUAUUGUUUCUGCAUGCCCAUCCCCCAACUUCUGCACACUUUGUCCUAACAUAACUCACUGGCAACCUUCUUCAGAGAACUAGUCCUGGGCUAUGGGGCACGGUGGUGUGGGAGGGUGAGGUAGCCACCCCCUGACGGAUAGAGGAGUACCAAAGCCCAGCUCACUUCCUAGAGGCAGAACAAACUAUGCAGCGUCAUUGACACUCCAGAACCCCUGUGGGACCAGGCUGAGAAUGAGACCUUACCUGAAACGACAUCUUCGCUGGGCUUCUUCCCCUUCCUUAUCCUACUUGCCUCACUCCCUUACUGGUAUCCCACAUAAGACCUUCCUUGGUAAUCAUUUGCCCACCUCAGAGUCUUCCUCCAAACAGCCUCAUCUGGCUCAGCUAUGGGUUUUAUAAUUUAAAAAUAACUUUUUAUUUGCGCAUGUACGAUUACUGAGAUGGAAUAUGCAUCUUGUGUCCAUAAGAGUUAAGUCAGUCCAUCUCUUCUUUUGUGACCUCAAGUCCUUUGUUCAUCUUAUUAAUUCAUAUUAGAUCUUUUUUUUGAGGUAUAAUUCACAUACAGGAAAGUAAACCAAUCUUAAGUGCUUAGCUCAACAAAUUUUUACAUGUGUACCCCUGCCGUAAUCACCACCCAGUCAAGAUGUAGAACAUGUCCAGCACCCGGAGGCUCCCCCACAUCCCCUCCCAGUCAGCAGUAAACACCUCCAAGUAGCCACUAUUUUAACUUCCAUCAUCAUAGAUAAGGUUGACCUGUUUUGUACUUCUUAUCGAUGGAAACACUCUGUGUGUACUAUUUGGUGUCAGGCUUCUUCAUUCAACAUGAUGUUUGGGAGACUCGUCCACAUUGCAUGUACCGUUCACUCAUUUUCAUUGCUGUGUUGUUUUCCAUUGUAUGGAAAUACCACAAUUUAUUUACUCAUUCUCUUGUUCAUGGAAAUUUGGGUUGUUUGCAAUUUGGAGCUAUUAUGAAUAAGGCUGCCACGAGCAUUCUCUACAUGCAUUUUAGGUAUAAGCACUUAUUUCUAUGUGUAUACCCAGAACUGGAAUUGGGGUCAUAGGUUAUAUGAUGAACUAGCUCUGGUUGGUGCUAUAGCAAACAUAUUACCUCUUUGCCAUAUUUGGGCACAUUUCCCCCUAGUUGAUUGCUUGCCUUUUUAUAUAUUCUUUUUCCUCCAGGUUUUAUUGUAGUAUAAUUUUCACACAUAAAAUUCAUUGCUUUUACUUAUUUAUUUACUUAAUUGUUUAUUAUUUUUAAAAAAUUUAUCUCUCUUAAGUGUGAAGUUUAAAAAAUUUUGGCUAGGAUUAUAGUCGUGUAACCACGACCACAAUCAAGAUAGAGAACAUUUCCAUCACUCUCAUUAUCUUCUAUUUUAACAUAAAGAUGUUUAUAUUUCUGCUGCAAUCAUAUAUGACUUAUCUCCCAUUUUUUCUGUACUUCUAAAAUAAUGAACUCUAGAAUGACUCUACAAAGUAUGGGAACAAGUGUCAUUGCCUUCUUAUCUAGAAACAAACACGUAAUGAAUUUAGAGUCUUAGCUGUUGAGUUGGACAGGGCAGCGUAGGAAUCCCAUUCACUUACUUGCGGGAUGAGGUUAGGCAAGCCACCAGCCUCUGUGCUAUCAUUUUCUUCUUCUGUAACAUGAUUCUAAUAAUGGUGCCUAUGGUGCUAUGUGCCAGGCACUGUUCUCAGCACUUUAUUUGUAGCGCCUUAUUAAAUCUUACAACAAUUCUGUGAGGCACAGAUUGGUCCUCUCCCGAUUUUAUAACUGAAUCCCAGAGAAGUUAAGUAAACUGAGGCAGGCUCGAGAGCCAUGUGCUGGCUACGACAGGGCUUCUCUGCUUCAUAGAUAAGGAGGUGACGCAGGGAAAGAGAAAGCACAGCGCCUACACAGAAAUGCUAACUUUUAUUAUUAUUAUUCAUCUUCUUUAUAUUCUUAAUAAAUUUAUAUAAUUGUCUUCAUAUAGGUCAUGCAUAUUUCUUGUUAAGGCUACUCGUAAAUAUUUUAUGCCCUUUCAUAUUUUGUGCAGGGGAUAUCUCUUUUUCCUGUAUGUUUUCUCAUUGGUUAUUCUGGAAUGUAGUGGAAGCUACUGACUCCUUUCUACUGUGGAGCUAAAAGAACCCUAGCAGCACAUCAGCACAACUUAAAAUGUACCUCCAAAAAGUAAUUUUAAUAAUGUUUAG